rnacentral:lncRNA from 1 species
GCUUCCCAGCUGGCUGAGCACUGGUUUAUAGACUUGUGUGUACAAAUUUAGCCAGCAGCAAACCUCACAUCUUUAAUAUAAAAGGUGUUUUGUUGUGUUUUUCAGGUGCUGAGUGAAAAGCCCACACUGCAGAAGCUCAUUAAAAGGGCCAAGUUACAGUACAGGUUUAUUUCUGUCACAGCGUUUCUGAAAACAGUGACAAGGAUUAAUAUGUUUCUUUAGUACUGGAAAAAGCCUGACGCAAUCCCUUGUGAAUUUGAUCAUCUGUUUCAUUGCCUGUAGAACAUUCAGCUUCCUAUUAUAUCUGAAAGUUACAGCUGUAAACUACUACUGGGAAAUAAUAUCAAUAGGAAUUAAAAGCCAGAAAGUACUGUCUCCAUAUCAUUUUAAAAUGCUACGAUACUUUUGUAAAAGGAGCUUAAUAUUAAAAGAAUGGGGAAAAUGUUGGAAAUUCUAAGCAUGACCCUCUUUUGUUGUCUUGACAUUCAAACCAGUGAGUCAGAUACAUGCUGUAAUGUACUGAAGAUACAUGCUGUAAUGUACUGAAGAUACAUGCUGUAAUGUACUGAAGAUACAUGCUGUAAUGUACUGAAGAUACAUGCUGUAAUGUNNNGAAGAGGAGCUGCCCUGAGUUCAAACAACCUCUGAAAGUUAAAAAUAAGUUAAUGAUUGAUUGUCUAUGAAUAAAGAAUGUUGCCGAUCACAGUGUUUUGUGAAGACACUGAAUAAAGUG